rnacentral:rRNA from 1 species
GACGAACGCUGGCGGCGUGCCUAAUACAUGCAAGUAGAACGCACAGUUUAUACCGUAGCUUGCUACACCAUAGACUGUGAGUUGCGAACGGGCGAGUAACGCGUAGGUAACCUGCCUGGUAGCGGGGGAUAACUAUUGGAAACGAUAGCUAAUACCGCAUAAUAUUAAUUAUUGCAUGAUAAUUAAUUGAAAGGUGCAAUUGCACCACUACCAGAUGGACCUGCGUUGUAUUAGCUAGUAGGUGAGGUAACGGCUCACCUAGGCGACGAUACAUAGCCGACCUGAGAGGGUGAUCGGCCACACUGGGACUGAGACACGGCCCAGACUCCUACGGGGGGCAGCAGUAGGGAAUCUUCGGCAAUGGACGAAAGUCUGACCGAGCAACGCCGCGUGAGUGAAGAAGGUUUUCGGAUCGUAAAGCUCUGUUGUAAGAGAAGAACGGGUGUGAGAGUGGAAAGUUCACACUGUGACGGUAUCUGACCAGAAAGGGACGGCUAACUACGUG